rnacentral:rRNA from 1 species
AUUGAACGCUGGCGGCAUGCUUUACACAUGCAAGUCGAACGGCAGCGCGGGCUUCGGCCUGGCGGCGAGUGGCGAACGGGUGAGUAAUGCAUCGGAACGUGCCCAGUAGUGGGGGAUAGCCCGGCGAAAGCCGGAUUAAUACCGCAUACGACCUGAGGGUGAAAGCGGGGGACCGAAAGGCCUCGCGCUAUUGGAGCGGCCGAUGUCGGAUUAGCUAGUUGGUGGGGUAAAGGCUUACCAAGGCGACGAGCCGUAGCUGGUCUGAGAGGACGACCAGCCACACUGGGACUGAGACACGGCCCAGACUCCUACGGGAGGCAGCAGUGGGGAAUUUUGGACAAUGGGGGCAACCCUGAUCCAGCCAUGCCGCGUGCGGGAAGAAGGCCUUCGGGUUGUAAACCGCUUUUGUUCGGGAAGAAAUCCUCUGGGCUAAUACCCCGGGGGGAUGACGGUACCGGAAGAAUAAGCACCGGCUAACUACGUG